rnacentral:lncRNA from 1 species
AGCCUACAGUAUAGUCCCUGAGUGAGCUAGCAGACUGUAAACCCAGCCUACAGUAUAGUCCCUGAGUGAGCUAGCAGACUGUAAACCCAGCCUACAGUAUAGUCCCUGAGUGAGCUAGCAGACUGUAAACCCAGCCUACAGAGGAUAUACGGUACACCACCACUGACCAACCAUAGCAACUAUACCUGUCAGUCUCAUGAUAUACAACCUGGUGUUGAUGACUUACAGCUUGUACAGAUAAUCAGAUGUUUAAUGUGCUCCAGAGUAGACCAGAGUUAGGAGAGUAGUGUUGUAUGUAAAUAUAUUUUUAUGGCACAGGCUUUAUGCAAAAGACGCUUUACAUACCAAGAUGAAAUUAUUUUUUAAAAGGAUGGAUGGGCACAACUAAGUUUGUUAAUUUGUGUUUUUAAAAAGUUUCUAGAAGCGAAGAAGCAGGGUGUUCCAUGAUGUCAUAUCCUGUGUUUAAAUCGAUUGGUUGCUUACUGUGUAAUCUGCAUUGCCAUUGGCUAGUUAUGACUGGUUAAUCAUGUUGUUGUUCUAAAAAUGGCCGAACUUUGUUUUUGUCAUGAUUUUGUAUUUGUCGUUGAUAUAUUUUGGAUGUGGGUUCUCAGUGUAGUGCAUUAUGAAGGGGAAUAGGGUGCAGCAGCCUUGAACCACUUCACAUGUAGUCAAACAGUAGUCAAACAAACCAAACAGACUAAAAGAUGAAGCACAUUCAUACUGUACCAUUGACAUCAACGUCUCACUGAAACUAACUGGUGGACCAAGUUAGAGCUGUCACCUGUUAGGCUUUGGCUUGACUAAGUGCCAAUACACAGUAGAGCUGAAGUUGAACAUCUUCUCAUUUUUAUACAAGAAAUAAACCAUUUGCCUUCAUUUUUCCAUCGUGAGUCCAGAAAUAGUACAUAUGUGGAUAGAUGAAUCAGGGUUCUGUUAAUCUGAAAUGUAACCACUUUAGCUCAAUGCUAAUAGUAUAGAAUCUUUGCUGGUAUGUGUUAUGCCAUAAUUGUUUUUCUGUAUAAUUUUUUUAAACCGUUAAUUUCAAAAUGGCUCUUAUUGUCAUUGUAGACCAUUGCCUGUGUGUGAAACAUGAGACUAGAUAUUGAAAAGAGAAAUGCUAAAAUGAUCAUUACAUAUGUAUAUAAUUGAAUGGUACUUUUGUAAAUCAUUGAGCUGUGAACCACCAUGACUUGUGGAGCUGGUCUACAGGACAGGUACUGCCUUCUCUGUCAAUUCUUCUGAAACCGUUUCAAUGGAUUUCAAACAUCAUCCUUAAAUCAUUUGCCAAAUAGUUUUCACGUCGUCAUCAGCUCGUUUGUUUUAUCUGCUAUGCAACUGCUUCAUCAUUUUGAAUCACUCCUCAAAUAUAUUUUAAUACUAAACCAAUGUGUUGAUGUGUUGUCAUCCUGAAGCUAUAGGGGGGGGGGUAGAUGAAUAGAAUGUAUAUAUGGUACAUGAUGUGUUGUCAUCCUGAAGCUAUAGGGGGGUAGAUGAAUAUAAUUUAUAUAUGGUACAUGAUGUGUUGUCAUCCUGAAGCUAUAGGGGGGUAGAUGAAUAUAAUUUAUAUAUGGUACAUGAUGUGAUGUCAUCCUGAAGCUAUAGGGGGGUAGAUGAAUAGAAUUUAUAUAUGGUACAUGAUGUGUUGUCAUCCUGAAGCUAUAGGGGGUAGAUGAAUAGAAUGUAUAUAUGGUACAUGAUGUGUUGUCAUCCUGAAGCUAUAGGGGGGUAGAUGAAUAGAAUGUAUAUAUGGUACAUGAUGUGUUGUCAUCCUGAAGCUAUAGGGGGGUAGAUGAAUAGAAUGUAUAUAUGGUACAUGAUGUGUUGUCAUCCUGAAGCUAUAGGGGGGUAGAUGAAUAUAAUUUAUAUAUGGUACAUGAUGUGUUGUCAUCCUGAAGCUAUAGGGGGUAGAUUAAUAUAAUUUAUAUAUGGUACAUGAUGUGUUGUCAUCCUGAAGCUAUAGGGGGUAGAUUAAUAUAAUUUAUAUAUGGUACAUGAUGUGAUGCUGCAUAUAUCCUCACAUAUUGACCUGGUGAUGUAUUUAAGGCUGCAUCCCAAAUGGCACCCUAUUCCUUAUAUAGUCCACUACAUUUGACCAGGGUCAGCGGGGCCCCCAAAAAAGUGCACUAUAAAGGCAAUAGUGGUAUUUGGGGCGCUACCUAAGUGUCUGAGUUCAUCUGAGCAUUGUUAGGUUGCUCCUUACUGCGUUCACCACUCAUAGGGUCAAAUGGGGACACUUGUGCAACUCUCUGAUAAAUAUGAAUGCGUCUUUUGAAUUGAAAUUCGAGUCUUUCCUCAACUACAGGAUUAGUCUCAGUUCAUCUGAGGAUGCUGGGUUCUCCUUGCUUGCCAGCUAUAUGGGUGAAUGAGGACCAAUCUUAAUAUGGGAUAUGACUUAGCACCUAACUCAGACACUUGGAUGAAUGAGGACCAAUCCUAAUAUGGGAUAUGACUUAGCACCUAACUCAGACACUUGGAUGAAUGAGGACCAAUCUUAAUAUGGGAUAUGACUUAGCACCUAACUCAGACACUUGGAUGAAUGAGGACCAAUCUUAAUAUGGGAUAUGACUUAGCACCUAACUCAGACACUUGGAUGAAUGAGGACCAAUCUUAAUAUGGGAUAUGACUUAGCACCUAACUCAGACACUUGGAUGAAUGAGGACCAAUCUUAAUAUGGGAUAUGACUUAGCACCUAACUCAGACACUUGGAUGAAUGAGGACCAAUCUUAAUAUGGGAUAUGACUUAGCACCUAACUCAGACACUUGCACAACUCUGUCAUGAAUAUUAACAGGAAUUGAGAGGGAAUUGUGAGACUUUCCUCAGGUUGUGAUUAGUCUCAGAACCCCUCGGUUACCAUAGCAGGUGGCUAUGACUGAGAAUACGUCUCAAACGGCACCCUAUUCCCUAUAGGGCCCUGGUAAAAAAAAAAGUAGUGCCCUAUAUAGGGAAUAGUGUGCCUAGGGGGUAGAUGGCAUCAGCAGACUGUCUGGUGUUGCUAUGGCUGCCAGUCACAUACCCAGUCUCUGCCCACUCUAGAGGACCCACACCAGCCAGACAGACGGACACAGCAGGGGAACUCCUUUGAUCUGUAAUUACAACCAGACUGCACAAGUCAUCACGGACUGACUCAUUUAUGCAUUCUCUUUUUCAUUUUCUUUGUCACUUUCUCUCUUGUUCUCCAUGGUUCUUUCUCACUCUUCUCUUAUGUAUGUCCCUCUCGUUCUCUCUCCUCUCUCGUUCCCUCUUCUCGUUUUCUCUCGCUCUUCUGCUGACAGUCUAUUGCAAAGCUUUUUAUUGCCUUUGUUUAUCCAGGAAGUGCCAUAAUGAAUAGAGAAUUUGUGGUAAUAAUAAAAAGGUAGUGAUGAU